AAGAUUCUGGCCUCACGGCCGCUUCUUCAGCUGUGCGCUUCGGCUGCACGCUGGUGAACCUCUCACACCUGUGCACCUUUCGGUUGCAGCUCGUUAGCGAGCGGCUUCCGCUUUACAUUUAACUACCAGUCUCGAAUGUCAUCUACAAUAAAAAGUAA
rnacentral:misc_RNA from 1 species